UGCGGUCACAGCACCACCCUCCCUGCUGCUGAGGGCCCCAGGACUUGCCUGGGGCUGGCGCUGGGGACAGGCUGGCACUUCGCUGCCCCCACCCCUGCCAGCAGCCCGGGCCCCUGCUCCAUCCCACGGCACGGCCGGCUGCUUCUGCUGCCUGAAUCGUGGGGACAAUGCUGGCUGCUUAUUCCCACGCCUGGCACCAAGAUCCUCGUCCACCCACGCAGUCGCGAGUCCCACAACCGACUCUAACCUCACCUGGGAAAAAACAGCUCUGAAUUUUGUUUUAACGCUAGAAAGUGAGUUUCUCAUGUAGCUGGAGAGGAUGCUGCCAACAGGAAGAAAAGGCAAGAGAAGAUUUUAAAGAUUGUAAAAUAGGCGGCGGCAGCCCCGCAGAAGGGAGCAGAAUGAUGUGCUGGGACACGCUUCCCGGCAGGGCUGGAUCCCCGUGCAGGCACUGACUGGCCCUGUGCUCCACCUUGGUUUGCAAUAUUUGAACAGGAAGUUUGAUCAAAACAGAGCUUCCUAUUUUACAGCUCACAAAAUACAAACAGGGUCUGUCAGCAGGUCUUUGCUAUAAACUGGAUGGCUCAGCACCUGUUGGAGGCUGGCAGGAAGGGCUGGAGAAUGGCUCUCUGGUGGAAAAGGCCGCUCUUCAGAAAUGACUGUAAGCUUAUAGAAAAAAUCAACAGCCUAAUAAUUGUAUUGAUAAUAAUUGUAACUAAUACUUUUCACCAUUAUUGAUGCAUUUUUUACACUUGAGCUGAGUUAGGUGUAAGACUCAGUUUUACCAUCUUCUUGCCACUUCUGCCUCAAGGGAGCAAACCGCUGCUCAGUUUAUCUUGCCCAAUUGCAAAUACAGAUUGGAACUACAUUUGCUGCCAACCACACCAGCUGUAACUCCCCAGAAGCUUGGAUACAUGGAGGUGGCCAGACAAGUUAAAACUGUCAUAUCAGAGACCAAAGGUCAACUAACAGACCUCUCCAAAAUUAUGCCAUCGUAUUGUUAUUACUUCUUCGCUGUGUCCUAUGCCCAACAGAUGUUACGUAUGAAAUUCAAAUUACAUCUUCAAAUGGAGCAUGACUUGGUAAUGAAUAAUUCAAGACAUAUAUUGAAAAUUAGAAUGCUGUUUUUAAACAGUGUGUUUCUUAGCAGAGGCAACGUCAGUGGAAAAAUACUCACCUAUUUAUCUGGCCAUUUUCCACCUCUGUGAAAUCAUUUGAGUCAUUGCUGAUGUUAUCAUCUUCAGGGACAGUCAUAUUCUGCAAUUCGGUCAGUUCUAAUCCAGCUUUGAAAGGCAUGCUGGGUGAGGAACUGUGCCUAUCCAAGUGGUUCUUCAAAUCCUAGUGUUUGGUUGAUAUCUCGUGGGUAAACUGCAGCCACAGUGUCAGCAACCUAAAUAAAACAAAAGAAAAAAAAAAUCCAAGAUGUAUACCACCACCGUCAGGCAAUAUCACCAGGAGAAACCAGUGAAACCAGUGCAGGAGGGCCAUCCAUACCAAAUGAUUUUGUACUGUUAGCUGGACCUCAGGGUAUGGCCUAAAUACAGUGUGGAACAGUAGUAACCUCAUAUGUUGUAAUGAGCUCAACCUCACUAACCUUAUAAAUUUACCCUGUCCUGCAACCUAUUGCUGAAGAUGGUAUUUUUAUUUUUUUUUUAAACUUGUGAGCAAACCAAGUCUGAUGGUUUCAGGAAAAAAAAUUAACCUUCUACAAAUUAAGGAAUAAAAAUUAUUUGCUUGUCCAAGUCUCAA